rnacentral:rRNA from 1 species
CCCGCUGAACUUAAGCAUAUCAAUAAGCGGAGGAAAAGAAACUAACAAGGAUUCCCCUAGUAACGGCGAGUGAAGCGGGAAGAGCUCAAGCUUAAAAUCUCCGUGCAAGUUUUGCACGGCGAAUUGUAGUCUAUAGAGGCGUGGUCAGCGUGGGCGCUCGGGGCAAGUUCCUUGGAAGAGGACAGCAUGGAGGGUGAUACUCCCGUUCAUCCCUGAGUUGCUCGUGCGUACGACCCGUUUUCUUUGAGUCGCGUUGUUUGGGAAUGCAGCGCAAAGUAGGUGGUAAAUUCCAUCUAAAGCUAAAUAUUGGUGCGAGACCGAUAGCGAACAAGUACCGUGAGGGAAAGAUGAAAAGAACUUUGAAAAGAGAGUUAAAGAGUACCUGAAACUGCUGAAAGGGAACCGAAUCGUUUCCAGUGUCUAUAAUCCGUGGCAUAUUUCAUUGGCGAGUGUGUGCGUGCGUGUGCUGUGGCAGCGGUCUUUAUGGCUGCGCUCGGCGUGUGUGCUGUGUGUGCUUGCUGGUGCCCUGUGCUGCGGUGGGACGUCAAGGUCAGUUCGUAUGCUGCGGGAAAUGGCUGCCGAGGAGGUAGGGCUUACGCUCCGCGUUUGUCUGUUAUAUCUUGGUGGACGAGUCGUCGCGGUUGGGACUGAGGUGCCUACAACGUGCUUUUGAGUGGGUUUGUGUCUCCGUGUGCGCCGUGUGCGGAUAGCUUGCUAUGCGUGUGUGGUUGUGUGUGGAUUGAUGCGGGCCUUAACUUGUUGCCGUUCGGGACGUUGACGAAAUGGAGCGAUCCGACCCGUCUUGAAACACGGACCAAGGAGUCUAACAUGUGUGCAAGUGUUAGGGUGUGGAAACCCCAGCGCGAAAUGAAAGUGAAGGGCAGCGCAAGUUGUCUGAGGUAGGAAACGUUGCGGGCUUCGGUCUGCGGCGUGGCACUAUCGACCGAUCAUGAACCUUCGUGGUGAAAGAUUUGAGUUUGAGCACAUAUGUUGGUACCCGAAAGAUGGUGAACUAUGCCUGAGUAGGGUGAAGCCAGGGGAAACUCUGGUGGAAGCUCGUAGCGAUUCUGACGUGCAAAUCGAUCGUCAAACUUGGGUAUAGGGGCGAAAGACUAAUCGAACCAUCUAGUAGCUGGUUCCCUCCGAAAUUUCCCUCAGGAUAGCAGCAACUUAUUUACGAUAGUUUUAUGAGGUAAAGCGAAUGAUUAGAGGAUUCGGGGAAGAAACUUCCUCGACCUAUUCUCAAACUUUAAAUCUGUAAGACCUGCAGGUUUCUUAAUUGAACUUGUGGAUGUGAAUAUCAAGUUGCUAGUGGGCCAUACGGGGUAAGCUCGUCUGGCG